rnacentral:lncRNA from 1 species
AUGGUUUGUCGACUCCAUUGCUCUAGGCUGGGUGUCUUUUGUGUUGUUGCAGGGACAGGAGCAAACGGAUCCGUCUCCGGGCCAAAUCCCUGGCGGGCAGAGAGGACAGGCCGUCGCUUGCAUCUCCACCCUGUGACCUUCGCUGAAGAAUCUGUGGGGAGGUGGCUGUGCAUUUCAACCAGGGGAGCAAGGGUGUGCUGGACUGAGGCCAGACAGCUCCGCAGAAAGACGUCAUGCUGGAGGCUGAAGGGAACGAGGCCUCUCCAGGUAAGGGAUCCCUUUGCAUUUCAUAUUUGUAUUUUUCACCGCACUGUUGACCUGGUUGGAAGUGGGCAACCAGAUCCUAUGCCUUCGAAGCUGCCUUGCGCCUGGCUUGAGCUUUGCUGGUACCAUUUUAAAAUAUAAAAUUCCAAUUUUUGGAAACAUGAAACUUCCAAGGGGAUGUUCCUCAUUGGCUUUCUUUCUCAUCUGUUGCCCGGACGCUUCCAAUAGAAGAAGAAGAUACAAACCAGUGAACUCCAGCAGGAUCGUACAGGAUGCAGCUUAUCUUGGGUAUUAAAUGUUGCCAGUCUUUCAACCUUUGUUUUGUUUACCAUAUUUGUUGACAUAUUCUUGUAUGGAGUUUGACAGAUUAAGCCACAGUAGCCUAAAAUAGCUCUCUUGGUAUCCCAACAACUCUUAGGGAUUUAUUUCUUCCAAGUGGUUUGAGAGCAGGUUUCACUUCACUUUCUAAAUUUCCUGGUUAUUCAUGGCAGGAUUCACCAUCACAACAAUCUAUUAUCCUCACAUCUUUUCUGUAUACAGUUCUUCAGUGUAUAGUUUCUUUUUAUUUUAUUCCGGCCGCAUGCCAUGCUUCCCUGUCUUUCAUUUCUUGGAUUUUAUGGAAGAGAGGUCUUGUUUUCCCUCUUUCUUUUUUCCCCCUUCUAUUUGUGC